CGCUGGCGGCGUGCUUUACACAUGCAAGUCGAGCGAGGCGGCCCGCAAGGGGUCAGUCGAGCGGCGAACGGGUGAGUAACGCGUGGAUAACCUGCCCAGAGGUGGGGGAUAACCCGGGGAAACUCGGGCUAAUACCGCAUAGGACCGUGAGGUCAAAGGGGGCUCGCAAGAGCUCUCGCCAUUGGAGGGGUCCGCGUACGAUUAGCUAGUUGGUAGGGUAAUGGCCUACCAAGGCGACGAUCGUUAGCCGGCCUGAGAGGGUGAUCGGCCACACUGGAACUGAGACACGGUCCAGACUCCUACGGGAGGCAGCAGUGGGGAAUUUUGCGCAAUGGGCUAACGCCUGACGCAGCAACGCCGCGUGGAGGAUGAAGGUCUUUGGAUUGUAAACUCCUGUCAGCAGGGAAAAAGCGACCUGACCUCAUACGUCAGGGAGUUGAUUGUACCUGCAGAGGAAGCCCCGGCUAACUCUGUGCCAGCAGCCGCGGUAAUACAGAGGGGGCAAGCGUUAUUCGGAAUUAUUGGGCGUAAAGGGCGCGUAGCGGCUUGGCAAGUGGAUGGUGAAAUCCCUC
rnacentral:rRNA from 1 species